CCGGACCGGCGCACGGUGAGUAACGCGUAUGCAACUUACCUAUCAGAGGGGGAUAACCCGGCGAAAGUCGGACUAAUACCGCAUGAAGCAGGGGCCCCGCAUGGGGAUAUUUGCUAAAGAUUCAUCGCUGAUAGAUAGGCAUGCGUUCCAUUAGGCAGUUGGCGGGGUAACGGCCCACCAAACCGACGAUGGAUAGGGGUUCUGAGAGGAAGGUCCCCCACAUUGGACUGAGACACGGCCAA
rnacentral:rRNA from 1 species